UCCCCCUCGACUACACUCUGAAGUCAGCUUUUUUUCCCGGUAGCUGCUUUCAAUUUUUGCUUCGAGGAAGAUAAAUGUGCCCCUUACUCACCAUGAUGUAUUGCGUAUUGAACGCUCCAUUGCAUCUAUGGUCCAUAUCCUCGGGCUACAU
rnacentral:snoRNA from 1 species